rnacentral:rRNA from 1 species
AUUGAACGCUAGCGGGAUGCCUUACACAUGCAAGUCGAACGAGUGGCGAACGGGUGAGUAAUGUAUCGGAACGUGCCCAGUAGCGGGGGAUAACUACGCGAAACGUAGCUAAUACCGCAUACUAUUGGAGCGGCCGAUAUCGGAUUAGCUAGUUGGUGGGGUAACGGCUCACCAAGGCGACGAUCCGUAGCUGGGUUGAGAGGACGACCAGCCAAACUUGGACUGAGAACACGCCCCGAAUCCCUCGGGGGGCCGCAGGGGGGAAUUUUGGGACAUGGGGGAAACCCUGAUCCCGCCAAUCCGCGUUGGGGAUUAAAGCCUUCGGGUUGUAAAGGCAUUUUUGCAAGGAAGCGGUACCUGCAGAAUAAGCACCGGCUAACUACGUGCCAGCAGCCGCGGUAAUAC